AAGCAUAUCUCAGGUCCAACCUGUCAGAAAACAUAAGACAUAUUUAGUUAAAAGCUAAAUAAUUAUUAGGGCCAAACAUCCACUUACAAUCUAGUUGAUGAUAAUACACCAAAGAAUAUAGGACUCUCUCAAGUACAUAAAAGAGAAAACAAAUUUUGUGGGCUAAUAAAGAAUAAAUAAAAGUGUAUUCAUCUUGUAAAAGAAAAGCAAUUUCUCACCUUCUCAGCAAUUUGAAGCAAUUCAGCUGCAGUUCCAACAUCUGCAGCCAAACACAGAUUACUCCCUCUUCAUAGUAUAUACUGUCAUGCAUCAGAAUAUUCUAGCUUCACUUAUGGAAAAAACUGGAUUGUUGUUUAUAGUCAUCAUGAUUGGAAGCAUCAAACAACAAUUAUUUAUGUCAUUUCCUACCCCUUAACUAAAGGAUCUCUAAUGUUCCUUCAUCAUGUGGUAUUUACACAUGGUUGUUUUGUACAUGAAGAUGGUCUAUAAGGGUAGUUUUCAUGUUCCUAAAGUCUUAACUAAGUUGAAGGAUUGGCCUCCAAAGCUACUCAAAUUUGGCACAACAUAGAAAAAACAUAAAUUAAUAAAACAAGUGACCAUUGCAGAGACAAAAAAACAUAAAUUAUUAAAAAGAAAACUAUUUCAAAACACCUGACUUAUGCUCCAUAACCAAGUUCAACAUAGUAAAAUUCAAACAGGACAAGAAAAUUACUAUUCAAUUAUAUAUUCCAUUUGAACCCAAUACACAAUUCAGCUUAACCAGAGUACUUCAAAACACAAUAUGCAUACCAAUGGGACAUUUAAUGAUUCUGUUAAUACUCAUGUCAACAAGAUCAUAGUGAAUUACAUAAUUGAAUUUUAUGUGACACACAAGAUUAAAACAAACCACAAAUUGUCCUAUUCCUUUUCAUCAAUUAACAUCCUAAGAAGUAUAAACAAAAAUUAGAACACGCUUCCAGAAUUUAUUAAUGCUUAUGGUGUUUUUUCUCCAGAAUUUAGUACCUGAGAACACGACGAAUGAAGAACACGGUUUGGGGUUUCAAAGAGAAGAAGACGAUUUAGGGAUUUAGGGUUUCAACACGAAGAAUGAAGAACAGUUUGCAGUGAAGAAGAAUGAAAAUGAUUUAGGGAUUUGGGAUUUAGGGAUUUCAAAGAGAAUUAGGGAUUAGGGAUUUGGGAUUUAGGGAUUUGGGUAUUUGGCGACAAUUUCACGGGAUUCUCCAAGCCUUUGUUCUACAUACAAAGAAAUUUUGAGAAAUCUUANNNNNNNNNNNNNNNNNNNNNNNNNNNNNNNNNNNNNNNNNNNNNNNNNNNNNNNNNNNNNNNNNGAAGAAUUGAACAUACCGAAAGUAAACUCGUUCUGGAGAAGAUGAAGUUCGUCGUUCCGAUUGUGAAGUUCGUCGUUCCGAUUGUGCCCUAAUUUUGAGAGAUGAUUGGGAAUGAUGAAGAAGACGAGAGUAAACUUAGAAUGAUGAAUGAUUGAAACUCGUUCUGGAGAAGAUGAUUGAUGAUUGAUGAAUGAUGAAGAAGACGAGAGUAAACUUAGAAGAUGAAUGAUG
rnacentral:lncRNA from 1 species